ensembl:snoRNA SNORD58 Small nucleolar RNA SNORD58
UAGCUGUGAUGACUUCUUAGGACACCUUUGGAUAAAUCAUGAAAACAAAACAGAAUCACACCUGAGCUAA